rnacentral:rRNA from 1 species
GCAAGUCGAACGAACCUUUUAGGUGAGUGGCGCACGGGUGCGUAACACGUGGGAAUAUACACUUCGGUAAGGAAUAACGUAGAGAAAUUUACGCUAAUACCUUAUAAUGACUCCGGUCCAAAGAUUUAUCGCCGAAGGAUUAGCCCGCGCUAGAUUAGUUUGUUGGUGAGGUAAAAGCUCACCAAGACUACGAUCUAUAGCUGGUCUUAGAGGAUGAUC